rnacentral:rRNA from 1 species
GACGUAGGGCGCGAGCGUUGUCCGGAAUUAUUGGGCGUAAAGAGCUCGUAGGCGGUCUGUUGCGUCCGCUGUGAAAACCCGGGGCUUAACCCCGGGCCUGCAGUGGAUACGGGCAGGCUGGAGGCAGGCAGGCGAGUGGAAUUCCUGGUGUAGCGGUGAAAUGCGCAGAUAUCGGGAGGAACACCAAUGGCGAAGGCAGCUCGCUGGGACGGUACUGACGCUGAGACGCGAAAGCGUGGGGAGCAAACAGG